GGCUUGAUGGUCCAGGAGUAUGAUUCUUGCUUAGGGUGCGAGAUGUCUUGGGUUCAAAUCCUUAAUGAGCCC